rnacentral:rRNA from 1 species
UACGGAGGGUGCAAGCGUUGUCCGGAUUUAUUGGGUUUAAAGGGUGCGUAGGCGGCUUUUUAAGUCAGUGGUGAAAUCCAGCAGCUUAACUGUUGAAUUGCCAUUGAUACUGGGGAGCUUGAGUACAGACGAGGUAGGCGGAAUUUAUGGUGUAGCGGUGAAAUGCAUAGAUACCAUAAAGAACACCGAUUGCGAAGGCAGCUUACUAGGCUGUAACUGACGCUGAGGCACGAAAGUGUAGGAAUCAAAC